UACGUAGGGGGCAAGCGUUGUCCGGAUUUAUUGGGCGUAAAGAGCGUGUAGGCGGUUAGGUAGGUCCGUUGUGAAAACUCGAGGCUCAACCUCGAGACGCCGAUGGAAACCAUCUGACUAGAGUCCGGAAGAGGAGAGUGGAAUUCCUGGUGUAGCGGUGAAAUGCGCAGAUAUCGGGAAGAACACCCGUGGCGAAGGCGGUUCUCUGGGACGGUACUGACGCUGAGACGCGAAAGCGUGGGGAGCGAACAGG
rnacentral:rRNA from 1 species